GUGGUCAUUUCAGCAGCACAUGUACUAAAAUUGGAACAAUACAGAGAAGACUAGCGUGGCUCCUCUGCACGGAUGAGAUACAGAUUUAUGAAGCAUCCCAUGUACAG
ensembl:snRNA U6 U6 spliceosomal RNA